GACAUCACAACAACAGCUGCUCUAGCUUUGCUUGCAGAUGUAUGCAGAGCCCCAGAACCUUCUCUACAGCUAAUGCCAAAAAGAUGCUGGAAAAUUCUCCUCUAUCACUGGAAGCCUGUCCCGCUGCUCUGGAAUGCCCUGUACAUGGAAAGCCCAAGACUGUGGGUUUAGAAGAGCCAAAAAGCGCAGCCUCACAGAUCUGCCCCAAGAUCCCACGCUACCUCUCUCCAACUCCUUACACUGGGGUGUAGCACAGCUGCGGAGGAGGUCUCUUUGUUGAGCUCCUGUAGCUCUGCAGGUUCUGUGCUGUAAAUAUACAGAACGCAGGGACUUGGAAAAGAAGUUGAGAGUGCCCAAGGCUUGGAGGAAAUCUUGGGCUCCACCUUACAGUGUGCUGCUGCAGUGCUCUGACAGCUCAAAGAAGCCUUUUGGUCCUAUGUCACACCCCUGGAAGCUUCCCUGUGCACAUUUGUGAGCCACAGAGGUCAGGUUGUAAUGGGCAAAAAGAAAGAGAGACAGAAAGAAAAGCAAGUUCAAAGAGAAGGUGGGAGAACUUAGAAGGUGGGAGGAGGAGGAAACCAAUGGGCCAAAAUGGGCAAUCCCAUCAUAAAAGGGAGUUAUGAGGCAGAGACCAUAUAGAUCAGGUGGUGGACAGGCCACAGGAAGGCAGGCUUAGGAAAACAAAAAGAACAUAAGUGUUCCAAGGUUUGGAAGCAUCACUCCACCCUCGUCCUCCUCUCACUUUUAAACGAGAGGAGG